UACGGGGGGGGCAAGCGUUGUUCGGAAUUACUGGGCGUAAAGGGCUCGUAGGCGGUCUGUUGCGUCGGGAGUGAAAACUUACAGCUUAACUGUGAGCGUGCUUCCGAUACGGGCAGACUUGAGGUAUUCAGGGGAGAACGGAAUUCCUGGUGUAGCGGUGAAAUGCGCAGAUAUCAGGAGGAACACCGGUGGCGAAGGCGGUUCUCUGGGAAUAUCCUGACGCUGAGGAGCGAAAGCGUGGGGAGCGAACAGG
rnacentral:rRNA from 1 species